rnacentral:rRNA from 1 species
GUCGUAGGUGACGAGCGUUAUCCGGAUUUACUGGGCGUAAAGCGCGUGUAGGCGGUUCGGAAAGUCGGGCAUGAAAGCUCCUGGCUCAACUGGGAGAGGCUGCCCGAUACUGCCGAACUCGAGGGCAGGAGAGGAAGGUGGAAUUCCGGGUGUAGUGGUGAAAUGCGUAGAGAUCCGGAGGAACACCAGUGGCGAAAGCGGCCUUCUGGCCUGCUCCUGACGCUCAGACGCGAAAGCCAGGGUAGCGAACGGG